rnacentral:rRNA from 1 species
GGAAUAUUGGACAAUGGGCGCAAGCCUGAUCCAGCCAUGCCGCGUGCAGGAUGACGGUCCUAUGGAUUGUAAACUGCUUUUGUACAGGAAGAAACACUGGUUCGUGAACCAGCUUGACGGUACUGUAAGAAUAAGGAUCGGCUAACUCCGUGCCAGCAGCCGCGGUAAUACGGAGGAUCCAAGCGUUAUCCGGAAUCAUUGGGUUUAAAGGGUCCGUAGGCGGUCUUGUAAGUCAGUGGUGAAAGCCCAUCGCUCAACGGUGGAACGGCCAUUGAUACUGCAGGACUUGAAUUAUUAGGAAGUAACUAGAAUAUGUAGUGUAGCGGUGAAAUGCUUAGAGAUUACAUGGAAUACCAAUUGCGAAGGCAGGUUACUACUAAUUGAUUGACGCUGAUGGACGAAAGCGUGGGUAGCGAACAGGAUUAGAUACCCCUG